rnacentral:rRNA from 1 species
CCCUUAGAUGUUCUGGGCCGCACGCGUGCUACACUGAGUGGAUCAGCGGGUCAGGUUGCGCGAAAGUGUUUCCUAAUCUUUAAAUCCGCUCGUGAUGGGGAUUGACGGUUGCAAUUUUCCGUCAUGAACGAGGAAUACCUUGUAAGCGCGGGUCAUCAUCCCGCGCUGAAUACGUCCCUGCCCUUUGUACACACCGCCCGUCGCUCCUACCGAUUGAGUGGUCCGGUGAGGCUUUGGGAUCUGAGCGGGAAGAGCGUUUCGCUGUUUCUGCCCGGAAAACUCAGUCGAACCUUAUCAUUUAGAGGAAGGAGAAGUCGUAACA